CACUCCUACGGGAGGCAGCAGUGGGGAAUAUUGCACAAUGGGCGCAAGCCUGAUGCAGCCAUGCCGCGUGUAUGAAGAAGGCCUUCGGGUUGUAAAGUACUUUCAGCGGGGAGGAAGGCAAUACGGUUAAUAACCGUGUUGAUUGACGUUACCCGCAGAAGAAGCACCGGCUAACUUCGUGCCAGCAGCCGCGGUAAUACGGAGGGUGCAAGCGUUAAUCGGAAUUACUGGGCGUAAAGCGCACGCAGGCGGUCUGUCAAGUCGGAUGUGAAAUCCCCGGGCUCAACCUGGGAACUGCAUUCGAAACUGGCAGGCUUGAGUCUUGUAGAGGGGGGUAGAAUUCCAGGUGUAGCGGUGAAAUGCGUAGAGAUCUGGAGGAAUACCGGUGGCGAAGGCGGCCCCCUGGACAAAGACUGACGCUCAGGUGCGAAAGCGUGGGGAGCAAACAGGAUUAGAAACCCCGGUAGUCCCA
rnacentral:rRNA from 1 species